GACACGUAUAGUGACACCCGGUAUUAUGAAUGAAGUGCGGGUUAACGGGUUAACCCGUGAUUGUACGGUCCGGGCCGGGUUAACCCGUUUUUUAACGGGUCACCAUUUCUCCAACCCUAACCCGGCUUGUUUAGAAACCAGCCGGUCCGGGUUCGGGUUUUCACGGUCCGGGCACGGGUUAACCCGCGGGUUUCAACUUGUUUGCCAGCUCUAUCCAUAUGUCUAUAAGUCUAGAGGGGCCUCCUCAAAUGUUUUAUUUUUUCAGAAAUGAUUAACGCACCGAGAAUUUACACCGCAGGUGACCGUGUGAGAGGGGAUGGUAAGGUCCACUUCUGCCCUUCCCUAUCCCGAUGCCAUCUGGGACCGUUCAUUGCCCUCAUGGUGCAUUUCACGGUGAUGCUUCGGUCAACGUAUCUGGCCGGCGUAAAAACUAUGUCCUAUUUUCGGGAGUUAACUUGUUCUCCUAACCCAUCUGUUGAAGCACUUAAGCAAAUAUCAACCAAGUUACAGAUUCCAUAUUGGAAGAACAUCGACCAAACUUCUUGCAAUAGAAGUGAAGAUCUUAAUUGGACUACAAGUGCCUAUACUCUAAGUAAAGUUGUGUGUGACUGUUCUUACGACUCCUCCACCAUCUGCCAUAUCACCAAUAUUCAGCUGAAACGCCUCUACUUAAGUGGAGAAUUACCUGAUGAAUUUGCAAAUCUUCCCUAUCUGCAAGAACUAGAUUUUAGUGGCAAUUUUCUCAAUGGGUCUAUUCCUAAGGCUUGGAAAACUCUUCCACUGGUCAUUUUGUCUCUCUUGGCAAACAAUUUUAAGGGAACAAUUCCAAAUGAAAUUGCAGACAUUGUUACUCUAGAACAUUUGGUAUUGACAGAUAAUCAACUUGAAGGACCCAUUCCUCCAGAGCUUGGCAAGCUUACCAGAUUGAAGACAUUAGCUCUUUCUGGGAACAAUUUCACAGGAACUUUACCUGCAACAUUUGCUACUCUGAAGAACAUUACAGAUUUUAGGAUAGCUGGGACUAGUUUCUCUGGAGAAAUACCUGAUUUCAUUGGCAAUUGGACGCAACUUGUUCGGCUAGAUAUGCGAGGCACAUCAAUGGAGGGGCCCAUCCCUUCCUCCAUAUUCCACUUGAAGAACUUAACAACACUGAGAGUGUCCGACUUAAAGGGACCAAACAUGCCCUUCCCUGAUUUGCGGGAUAUGAGCAGCAUGCAGCAACUGGAGCUAAGAAAUUGCUUGAUUAAUGGUUCAAUUGCAUCAAACAUUGCAGAGAGCAUGCCUGGACUAAUGCGACUAGACUUGAGCUUCAAUAGACUGACUGGUGACAUUCAAAGCCUCCAAGAAAUAUCAUCCCUUCAAAACAUGUACCUCACCAACAACUCAUUGACUGGACAGAUACCAGCAUGGAUAGCAAACGCCAAACGGAACUUUGACCUAUCAUACAACAAUUUUACUGGGCCAUCUCAAUCGGGUUGCCAGGAUUCAAAUUUGAAUAAAAUCUCGAGCUAUUCAUCUGAAGAAGACCAAGUUAGCUGGUGUUUGAAGAAGGAUCUACCCUGCUUCACAGAUUCCAAAUAUUAUUCCUUUUUCAUUAAUUGUGGUGGCUCGGAGAUGACUGUCGGAGGAGAGAAGUAUGAUGCUGAUUUAUCACCAAUGGGACCAUCAUCAUUCUUCUCGUACAAUGAUAGAUGGGCUUGUAGUACUACAGGAGAUUUUGUUGGAUCUCGCGGUGCGAGCUAUAUUGCUCAAGUGAGUCCAAACAUGUCAGUGACAGACUUAUACUCAUCAGCUCGUAUUUCUCCUCUCUCACUCAAGUACUACGGCAUUUGCUUACGUCCGGGAAAUUAUAAAGUGAAGCUUCACUUUGCGGAAAUAAUGUUCCCAAUUGACCAAAUGGCUGACAGUAUUGGUACUCGGGUAUUUGAUGUAUCAAUCCAAGGUAAAAAAGUAUUGGAGGGUUUUAAUAUUGAAGAAGCAGCAAAAGGUGUUGGGAAGAGUAUUAUUAAAGAAUAUGAUGUUGAUGUUACAAACAGCACUCUUGAGAUUCACUUAUACUGGGCGGGGAAAGGAACUACUUUCAUUCCCCUCGAAGUUGCAUAUGGACCUCUUAUUUCAGCUAUUGCAGUCACACCAAACUUUGAUCCGAACACGGGUCGCAUGUCUGUUGGAGUAAUUGCUGGCAUUGUAGCUGCUUCAUGUGUUUUAAUCUUAUUGAUUCUGGCAAUCCUUUGGAAGAAAGGCUGCCUUGGAAAAAAGGAUCCUGAGGAUAAAGAACUUAAGGAGCUAUUGCAGACGAGUUACUUUACUCUGAGAGAAAUUAAAACAGCAACCAGUAAUUUUGAUUUUGCAAAUAAAAUAGGUGAAGGUGGGUUUGGUCCAGUUUACAAGGGCCUGCGUCCAGAUGGUUCAGUAAUUGCUGUCAAGCAACUCUCUGCCAAGUCAAUGCAAGGCAAUCGUGAAUUUGUGAACGAAAUUAACAUGAUUUCUGCUAUACAACACCGUAAUCUCGUGAAGCUUUUUGGCUGUUGUGUUGAAGGAAACCAGCUUCUGGUAAUUUACGAAUAUAUGGAAAAUAAUAGCCUUGCCCGUGCUCUAUUUGGUCGUGCAGAUCAACGACUGAACUUGAACUGGCCAACAAGGCUUAGGAUUUGUUUGGACAUAGCUAAAGGUUUAGCUUAUCUUCAUGAAGAAUCAAGGCUGAAAAUUGUGCACAGAGACAUAAAGGCAACUAAUGUUCUUCUUGAUAAAGAUUUUACUGCGAGGAUAUCUGAUUUUGGUUUGGCUAAACUUGAGGAGGAGGAGAAAACCCACAUCAGCACACGUAUAGCAGGAACUGUAGGUUAUAUGGCACCAGAAUAUGCAAUGAGGGGUCGCUUGACUUACAAAGCAGACGUUUACAGCUUUGGAGUUGUUGCAUUAGAGAUCGUCAGUGGAAAGAGCAACACAAGUUACAUCCCAAAGGAUGAGUUCAUCAGCUGUCUUCUUGACUGGGCUUAUGUACUAAAAGAGGAUGGAAGACUCCUAGACCUCGUUGACCCCAUUCUGAAUUCAGACUAUUCAAAAGAAGAAGUUUUGAGAAUGUUAAACAUAGCCUUGUUAUGCACAAACCCAUCUCCUAGUCUUAGACCAUUGAUGUCUACUGUUGUGAGCAUGCUUGAAGGUCGAACUCCAGCCCAAGAAUCACUAUUGAACACUCCAGUUCAAGGAUCACAUCUUAUACGUGGUGGUUCGAGGGUUGAUGAUACGAGGUCAAGGACAUCUGAGAGAAUCUCGUAUGACAACCAAACACCGAUAUCAACCUUUUCUCAAGAGAGUGCUUUAUUAGAGAGUAAAUCAUCAAUGGAGGAUCCAUCGCAGUUUGAUUCCACAGUGUCUUACUACAGUGAAGAUGAAGAAGAUGAUAUAAGAAGAAGAAGAAGAAUAGCAAAUUAGUUGACACUCUUCAGUUUUCAAGUGGCUGAAUUGUAUCACACUAAAUAGCCCAACACACUGCAAAGAGAACAGGCCAAAUCUUCCUUCCCCUUUUUCUUGCUCUUCUAUAGUUCCAAGCUCUUGAGUCUUGAGAUAAAGAUUCAGAUAGUCCUGGAUUUUCUUGUAUAGCUGCAGUGUAGCAUUAUGUGGUUUACAGAUUCUUAUUGCUCUUCUCAGUCGUACUUAGUCUGUAGCAUAUGCCGUAAGUACUUGACAUAUACAAAACUCUACCAUCAUUUUCAUUCUAGUCUCUCUUAAAAGUUAAAUCCUAUUCCCAACAAGUCUUCUCCUGCAGUAGUGUAGUAGUUGUUGUUAUUGGAAGUUCGAAACACAGAUAUGAAGUUACUAUAUCUUCAUGUCAUCUCAAACAUAAAAUUCUCUGUUAUAAUUCUUGUGUUGUUAAUUGUGUUGAAUUGCUUGGAGGAAUUCAGUUCUGAAGCUCAAGUUAUUCCAGAAGAUGAAGGAACUUGGAGGGGUUGUUCAGUAAAGUUCUAUGCAAGAGUAAGGGACUCAGAGCAUGCAAAAUGCCUUGCGUUUUUGGAUGUUGUGACUUGGUGCAAAGAGCUGCAACAUUUUCAUAUAGUUCUGGAGACUGACUUACAAGGAAUUGCCAACUAUAUCAAUCAUGCAGAUCCAGUUAUAGCAUGGGAAAAUGAAGGCCUUCUUCUUGAUGCUUUAGAGAUUCUAAAAACUAUUCCAUUUUGUUAUGUCAUUUUGUUCCUAGGAUAUGUAAUAAACCUGCUGACAAACUUGCAAAGUUCAGUAGGAAGAAUCGAG